AUUGAACGCUGGCGGCAGGCCUAACACAUGCAAGUCGAACGAGUGGCGGACGGGUGAGUAAUGCUUGGGAAUCUGGCUUAUGGGGGGUUAUACCUCCGGGAAACUGUCGCUCAUACCCCUUACCAUAGGAUGAGCCCAAGUGGUAUUAGGUAGUUGGUGGGGUAAUGGCCUACCAAGCCGACAAUCUCUAGCUGGUCUGAGAGGAUGACCAGCCACAACGGGACUGAGAGACGGCACGGACUCCUACGUGAGGCAGCAGUGGGGAAUAUUGCGCAAUGGGGGCAAACUGACGCAGCCAUGCCGCGUGAAUGAAGAAGGCCUUCGGGUUGUAAAGUUCUUUCGGUGACGAGGCGUUAAUCACAGAAGAAGCACCGGCUAACUCCGUGGCAGCAGCCGCGGUAAUAC
rnacentral:rRNA from 1 species